GCUCCGGUGGAACAAGUGGUUAAGCAUUUGGCUGCUAACCGAAAGGUUGGUGGUUCAAAUCCACCCAGCAGCU
rnacentral:tRNA from 1 species